rnacentral:tRNA from 1 species
GCCGACUUAGCUCAGUUGGGAGAGCGUUAGACUGAAYAUCUAAAGGUCCCUGGCUCGAUCCCGGGAGUCGGCACCA